UACGAAGGGUGCAAGCGUUACUCGGAAUUACUGGGCGUAAAGCGUGCGUAGGUGGUUCGUUAAGUCUGAUGUGAAAGCCCUGGGCUCAACCUGGGAAUUGCAUUGGAUACUGGCGGGCUAGAGUGCGGUAGAGGAUGGCGGAAUUCCCGGUGUAGCAGUGAAAUGCGUAGAGAUCGGGAGGAACAUCUGUGGCGAAGGCGGCCAUCUGGACCAGCACUGACACUGAGGAACGAAAGCGUGGGGAGCAAACAGG
rnacentral:rRNA from 1 species